AAUUUAUCACUAUAUUCCGAUUAUUUUAUUACUACCACUGUUAUAAUUUGCAAUUGCAUAUUUCUCUGUUGACUCAUUAUCUGUCUUUCCCAAUAGAUUUAUUUUAUUUUAUUUUUUAUUUAUUUAUUUUUUUCGAGACAGGUCUCACUCCGUCACCCAGGCUGGAGUGCCGUGGCAUGAUCUCAGCUCACUACAACCUCUGCCUCCUGGGUUCAAGCGAUUCUUGUGUCUCAGCCUCCUGAGUAGCUGGGAUUACAGAGCACCGCUUUUAGAAUCUGCAUACUAUUCCACCCUACAGAGAUUCAUGGAAUCAUGACUACAAUCAAAAUACAGAGCUAUUUCAUCAUCAUAAAGGAUUCCAGACAACUCCAUGAAGAAGCCCCAAAACUCUCAGCACUGAGAGUGACAAGUCCAGUGCCUGACACAUUGGAGGUAUGCAAUAAGUGUUUACCAAGACUCCUGCAGUAAUCACCAGUGGACCAUGUAAGAAGAGACUUCAAAAGAAAAAAAGGCCUGGCGCGGUGGCUCACGCCUUUAAUCCCAACACUUUGGGAGGCCGAGGCAGGCGGAUCACGAGGUCAGGGGAUCGAGACCAUCCUGGCUAACAUGGUGAAACCCCAUCUCUACUAAAAGAUACAAAAAAUUAGCUGGGUGUGGUGGUGGGCGCCUGUAGUCCCAGCUACUCAGGGGGCUGAGGCAGGAGAAUGGCGUGAACCCGGGAGGCAGAGCUUGCAGUGAGCCGAGAUUGCACCACUGCACUUCAGCCUCGGCGACAGAGCGAGACUCCAUCUCAAAAAAAAAAGAAAAAAGAAAAAAAAACACAAAACAGGCAUGCUUGAGGCUGAAUGACAAAAGCCAAGCAAAGAACAAGAUGGGCUAAGUGCGAUGGGAGGCAGGGUCUGUACGGUGCUGAUCCCUGCAUGUCCCCUUUCAAACAGCAGGAAAUUCCAUCAAACAUCACAUAAGCCAAAGUAUGAACUUUGACUUACCAUUACUGACUUUGAAUUUCAAAUCCUCCUAAGCACUUUAACA